rnacentral:rRNA from 1 species
GAUGAACGCUGGCGGCGUGCUUAACACAUGCAAGUCGAACGAUGAAGCCCAGCUUGCUGGGUGGAUUAGUGGCGAACGGGUGAGUAACACGUGAGUAUCCUGCCCUUAUCUCUGGGAUAAGCCUGGGAAACUGGGUCUAUUACCCGAUAGGAGCGUCCCCCGCAUGGUGGGUGUUUUGAAGAUUUAUCGGUUUUGGAUGGACUCGCGGCCUAUCAGCUUGUUGGUGAGGUAAUGGCUCACCAAGGCGACGACGGGUAGCCGGCCUGAGAGGGUGACCGGCCACACUGGGACUGAGACACGGCCCAGACUCCUACGGGAGGCAGCAGUGGGGAAUAUUGCACAAUGGGCGCAAGCCUGAUGCAGCGACGCCGCGUGAGGGAUGACGGCCUUCGGGUUGUAAACCGCUUUCAGUAGGGAAGAAGCGAAAGUGACGGUACCUGCAGAAGAAGCACCGGCUAACUACGUG